CAUCGCCUUCCUCCCCAGGGGGGUCACCUUCAGAGCGCGGGCCUCUGGGUUCCGAGGGUGCUGGUGACCUGAGAAGAAGGGAGGGGACAGAGGAGGAGACACACCUGAUCAGCCCGGGAGACUUUGGAGGAGGCGGGCCGGCCGGGAGGAAGUGGCGGGGAGGAGGGACCGGAGCACCCCAGGAUCGAAGAGGGCGCACGGGCCCGGCCCUCCCACGCGCCCUCCAGGGACCCGGCAGCCAGACAGACGGACAGGCGGACCGCUAGGGAGCUCAAGUACCCGGACACACGCACGAGCGCAGAACAAAGGGCCGGACAUGCUCCAGCCCGCUCCGCCUGCGCCUCGGCCUUGCGCGCGGGGGCCCGGGUUACCUGCGCAGAGCCAGCUGUGAUGUAAAGAAGUUUGUGCUGCAUGAGAGAGAUAGCACCUGAAGAAAAUGAGGCCCUGGAGGAUGAGAGACUCUAAAGGAAAAGGGAAGGGCCUGCUGUCUUCCAGCCACGCCAGCCCCCAACUGAGAAGCUGGGUGAAGCCAUCUUGCAUCUUUAGCCCCAGUCAAGUUACCUCAGCAAAGACUAGCUGACCCUGCCAAGCCCUGCCCAAGUUACAGAAUCAUGAGCAAAUAAAUGGCUGUUUCUGUUUUAAGCUUUUAAAUUUUGGGGGUGGUUUAUGUGUCAAUAAUAACUGAAACAGAUAAUAUAUACAGAAUAAACUUUAGUUUUAAUAAUCUAAGUAAAAGCCCACUAAUUCAUUAUGCAGAAAAAAAUGAUUUUUUUGAGACGGGGUCUCGCUCUGUUGCCAGGCUGGAGUGCUGUGGCACAACCAUAGCUCACUGCAGCCUCCACCUCCCUGGUUCAAGCGAUCUUCCCACCUCAGCCUCCCGAGUAGUUGAGACCACAGGUAUGUGCCACAACACCUGACUAAUUUUGUAAAUUUUUUGUAGAGAUGGGGUCCUGCCAUAUUGCUGAGGCUGGUCUCUAACUUCUGGGCUCAAGCCAUCCUCCUGCCUCAGCCUCCCAAAGUAUUAGGAUUACAGUGCCCUUGGUGUGGUGGAAGCAAGGUGCCAUGUGAUAAGUAAGCCUCCAGAGAGGCCUGCAUGGCAGGAUCCAAUGUCUUUAGCCAACAGCAUCUGGGAACCUGAGACCUGCCAACACCCUUGUGAGUGAGCCUGGAAGUGGACCUCCUGCUCUUGAACCUUGAGGUGACUAUAGUGCUGGCUGACACCUUGACUGCAGUCCCUGAGCUGGGGGGCCCAGCUGAUCUACUCCCAGAAUCCCCCCUACUAAAACAGUGAUAUAAUAAAUGCUUAUUGUUUCAAGCUGGUAACUUUUGGAAUGCAUUCACUGAAAAAAAUUAGAAUAUCAAACUAUAAACCGUUUACUUAGUCAACUUUUUGGGGAACUAAUAUGGCCAUAAAUAUCAAACCUCCUACAAUUUUGCACAUUCUUUGACUUUGUAGUUCUACAUCUAUAAACUUCUCUUAAGGGAAAUCAUGGAUGCCAACAAAGAAAUAGUUACAAAAAUGUUCAGCAGAGGAGCACUAUUUAUAAUGGCAAAUUGGUGGUGAUCCAUAUAUCCAAAGAUGGGAUUGAGUGACUAAAUCAUGGAAUCACCUCUAAUAGAACAGGAUGGGAUUCAUUAGUGAGUUUUAAAAACAGUAAAGGGAUUUGCCACUGGCAUUUGAAAAGACAAAAUAAAAUGAAAUAGAAUGAAAAAUAUCAGAGUAAGGACAAGUUUUGCUUCAUAAGAAAUUUAGCUUUGUAUAUGUACAUGUGUACAUUGUGAUAUUAAAUUCCUUACUCUGAGUCAUGGUCCAAAUUUUGAAUAACUGCAGUGUUAAUAAAAGAUGUAUAUAAAACUACUUAGGCCAGGCACAGUGACUCAUGCCUGUAAUCCCAGCACUUUGGGAGGCCAAGGCGGGCGGAUCACCUGAGGUCAGGAAUUCAAGACCAGCCUGGCCAACGUGGUGAAACCCUGUCUCUACAAAAAUACAAAAAUAGGCUGGGUGUGGUGGCUCAUGCCUGUAAUCCCAGCACUUUGGGAGGCCGAGGUGGGCAGAUCACCUGAGGUCAGGAGUUUGUAGACCAGCCUGGCCAACAUGGUGAAACCCCAUCUCUACUAAAAAUACAAAAAUUAGCUGGGCGUGGUGUCAGGCGCCUCUAAUCCCAGCUACUCGGGAGGCUGAGGCAGGAGAAUCGCUUGAACCCGGGAGGUGGAGGUUGCAGGGAGCCAAGAUCGCGCCAUUGCACUCCAGCCUGAGGGACAAGAGCGAGACUUUGUCUCAAAAAAAAAAAAAAAAAAAAAAUUAGCUGGGCAUGAUGGCAUGUGCCUGUAAUCGCAGCUAUCAGGAGGCAGGGGAAUCACUUGAAUCUGGGAGGCAGAGGUUGCAGUGAGCUGAGAUCACACCACUGCACUCCAGCCUGGGCAACAGAGUGAGACUGUCUCAAAAAAUAAAUAAAUACAACUACUUAAUGACAUAAAAUGUAACCAAAAUAUAUUAAGUUAUAAAAUGUAUUCAUAAUGUUACAAAAUGAUCGAAUUUUGUGAAAACCCAAACUAUGUGAAAAAAAUGGAAAGUAAAUACACC
rnacentral:lncRNA from 10 species